AUCUUUCUAGUACCAACUUAGUAUAAGUGCCUUCCAAGCACCUGGUCUUGGUUAAAGUCCAAGGAAAGAUA
rnacentral:tRNA from 1 species